AUUGAACGCUGGCGGCAGGCCUAACACAUGCAAGUCGAACGGUAACAGCAAGAAGCUUGCUUCUUUGUUGACGAGUGGCGGCCGGGUGUGUAAUGUCUGGGAAACUGCCUGAUGGAGGGGGAUAACUACUGGAAACGGUAGCUAAUACCGCAUAACGUCGCAAGACUAAAAAGGGGGACCUUUGGGCCUCUUGCCAUCGGAUGUGCCCCGAUGGGAUUAGCUAGUAGGUGGGGUAACGGCUCACCUUGGCGACGAUCCCUUGCUGGUCUGAGAGGAUGACCCGCCACACUGGAACUUAGACACGGUCCAGACUCCUACGGGAGGCAGCAGUGGGGAAUAUUGCACAAUGGGCGCAAGCCUGAUGCAGCCAUUCCGCGUGGAAGGAGAAGGCCUUCCGGUUGUAAAGUACAUUCGGCGGGAGAGAAGGGAGUAAAGUUAAUACCUUUGCUCAUUGACGUUACCCGCAGAAGAAGCACCGGCUAACUCCGUG
rnacentral:rRNA from 1 species